AUAUAUAACAAACAUGAAUGCGUAUAUGGUAUCUGAUUGUGCAUUAAU
rnacentral:guide_RNA from 1 species